rnacentral:lncRNA from 1 species
CUAUUUUGGAUUAAGUUAUUUACCUAUCUAUGUGACCAAAACUAAAAACAUUUCAGUCAACACAUGAUUAAAAGUAAUAACAUUAGUGAACCAACUGAUUUUCAGUGGUAUCAGGGAUUUGGGCUUAGCGAUCUUUUCUGACGAAAUAUUUAUGUCACAUCGGCUGAUAUUGUAAACCGGUAAAUUUUCGCGCAGUCUUUAUUUCACGAUUUAUUAACACAAUUAAAAUUCGCG